rnacentral:rRNA from 1 species
AACGAACGUUGGCGGUCUGGAUUAGGCAUGCAAGUCGCGGGAAUGCCAGCAAUGGCGGAACCGGCGUAAGGGGCAGUAAGGCAUGGGUACCUACCUGGAGGUGGGGUAUAGCCUGUAGAGAUACAGGGUAAUCCCGCAUAAUGUCGCAAGACCAAAGCUCCGGCGCCCUCAGAGGGGCCCAUGUGAUAUUAGCUAGUUGGUGAGGUAACGGCUCACCAAGGCGAAGAUGUCUAGCGGGUGUGAGAGCACGACCCGCGCCACUGGCACUGAGACACUGGCCAGACACCUACGGGUGGCUGCAGUCGAGGAUCUUCGGCAAUGGGCGCAAGCCUGACCGAGCGAGACCGCGUGGGCGAUGAAGGCCUUCGGUUGUAAGACCUGUCGAGGGGAGGAAAGGACGAACUUAGAUCUAUCCCUCGGAGG